rnacentral:lncRNA from 1 species
UCUGUAUUGUAGCGUCAUUUAAAUGGGAAUUUCUGAAUUUCCGGUGACAGAUGCAGCGUUUAACCAUGAAUGCAGUCUCCCGAGAACACGGGAACAGUGCCUUUAAUUCUCUGUUGCGCCGGAUCUUCCCAGAUGGGUUGACAAACCUUACCCACCUUAGGUUAUGUGUUCACUACUUGUCUUUUGUACAACUCUCAACGUCAAACAUACAAAGAGGUGUGUUUUGAAGUGUGAAUAGCCUGUGGCUGAAGGAUCUCACCCCUGAUUCACAGGGUUGUUGGUUCAAACCAAGACAGAGCCCAUGAGUGUGGUUGGGCUGAUAGUUGAAAGACAGAGCUCAUGAGUGUGGUUGGGCUGAUAGUUGAAAGACAGAGCCCAUGAGUGUGGUUGGGCUGAUAGUUGAAAGACAGAGCCCAUGGUUGUGGUUGGGCUGAUAGUUGAAAGACAGAGCCCAUGAGUGUGGUUGGGCUGAUAGUUGAAAGACAGAGCCCAUGAGUGUGGUUGGGCUGAUAGUUGAAAGACAGAGCUCAUGGGGGUGAAUACUUGGGGUCCCUCCUGUGAACAGCAGUGGUUAUAGAGAAUAUCCUCUAUUUAAAAACAGUUUUCUUCCAUAAACACAUCAGGUUACAGUUCAGGAACACAAGGAUGGAACCGCCCCCUUCCAGCCAACACCACUCAGACCCCUUCACACUCAGACCCCUUCUCACUCAGACCCCUUCACACUCAGACCCCUUCUCACUCAGACCCCUUCACACUCAGACCGCUUCUCACUCAGACCGCUUCUCACUCAGACCGCUUCACACUCAGACCCCUUCAUACUCAGACCCCUUCACACUCAGACCCCUUCUCACUCAGACCGCUUCUCACUCAGACCGCUUCUCACUCAGACCGCUUCUCACUCAGACCGCUUCUCACUCAGACCGCUUCUCACUCAGACCGCUUCUCACUCUGCCCCCCUUCACACUCAGACCGCUUCUCUCUCAGACCCCUUCUCACUCUGCCCCCUUCACACUCUGCCCCCUUCACACUCUGCCCCCUUCACACUCUGCCCCCUUCACACUCUGCCCCCUUCACACUCUGCUCCCUUCACACUCUGCCCCCUUCACACUCUGCUCCCUUCACACUCAGAUCUCUUUUCAUUGUGUUUUUGACAUUGAGAGUUGCAGAAAUCCACACUGAAGUGUAAGAGUUAAGGUUUGAACACAUCAUCUGUGGUGCAAGGCAGGAGUUCAACCCCAGAGCCACAGACUAACACUUUUGAGUGCUUCUCGUUGUAUAUUUGACAUUGAGAGAUGUAGAGUUGUAUGCAAAAGUACAAGAGCUAAGAUUUAAACUUUGAACCUCUGGGUUUCAGGGCAAUGGUUUAACCCCAGAGCCACAGAGUCCCCAGUGCCUGCAUAGCCCCAAGCUGGAGCUCUGGAUUAAUACUGUACCUCAAGGAAAAUGUUUGUGUUCAAGGCUUAUAUAAAGGUCUUUUAACUGAUUAUACAAUGUGGGGCCAGUUUUGGAGCCUGUAACUGUUGCACCCAGUGGCCAAGGGCUUUAUGUCCUACUAACACAACAGUGACUACAUGUACGUGUGUGUUUUACCUGGCAGAAGGUCAGUCAUUCCCAGUGCCAUUUCAGACCGUGGCAUCGGCAGAGCUGAGUUUAUCUACAGGAUAUGUUGUCAUCCUCUCCUGGAAAUUCCAGAAUGGAACAGAAUCACUGGAACAGGGAUGCAGUGUUAUAAAUUCUCCCACUGACAACAGAAAGAUCAUCGUAACCACAGGUGGAAUACACUUUUUGGGGGAACCAUUCAAAAAAUAGGUGCUUUAAAAUGUUGGCUAUACUUAUGCAAAGUAUUGGAUUUACGCUUCUGCUUUGUGAUGCCUCCCAAACCUCUAGAAUAGAUAGAGAAUCCAAAAAGGAGCUGUAGGAAAUGCAAUUUAUUAGCAAUUUUUUAAUAACAUAAUUCCUCAGAUAAAAAUGCAAUGUUACAGGAAUAUACAUCAGAUUAAUUUAAAACUUGCUUUCAAGGACCGUACAGUCUAAAUAUAUUUUUCAUGUUUUAUUUACUCGUAGCGUGCGUUAUAAGCAAGACAGACUCUGUCACCAAAGACAGACUGACAUUAACAGAUACAAACUGUACAUCACUUAUAUACAAAUCAACUUUUUAUUUCGUUUUUUCAGUUAUUUUGAAAAUAGAAGUAGAAAAAGUGAUUGAAUAUUCAGAUUUUUAUUUAUUGUAUUCUUUCUCUUUAAAAAUUGGUUUAAAUGAAAGAAUGAAACAAGAAAUGAAAAAUAAAGUAAUAGAAUUGUUUAUCUUUUUAUAGAAAAUAAGAAUAGAGGGAAUGGGUGGAAAUGUCUGGUGAGACCAUGCAGACUUGUCAUUCAAAGGAGAAAAGGGGGUUUGGAUUUGGGCAAAUCCACUCAACAACUCCCCAAAAACUAGUCGAACCCCUCACAUGAAGUGAGUGACUGUCUCUGAGCAUGAGGAAAUUGAUACAAAACAAGAUGGCUGCCUCCAAAGCUACCAUAAUGCACAAUACACAUUCUAGUUCAUUUUAAUGACCAUAAAUAGUGCUGUUCUUCUUAAAAUACUACAUUUAACAGUAGUGCCACUACUAAUAUUACAAAAAAAUACUUUUGUUGUUUUUUGGGAAUGGUUCUUUCACAUAUAAACGCGAUAAAGACAGACGACUUUGCCAAAAAGUGGUCUAUACUUCCACCAGUCAGUCUUCUGAUUCUGUGCAUGAUUGACUAAAUCAUGAUUUGGGGUAUUACUGAAGUAUUUAAAUGUAUUACAGACUUGGUUAAACCUGAUGGGUACAACGUUCUACUACUGCCUUACCAAAGUGAGACGCGGACCAAUAAAACAACGUCUUUAACUCAACAUUAACCAACCCCUAACUAUUUAUGACUUUGAUAGUCACACAAACCCCUCUUCAUCACCAAUAGUCAACUACUGGUCCUCGGGGUUCUGUUAUCCAUACUAGGUAAACAAUAAUCUCUCUCCCACGUGGCUUUAGGAAGGUCAAAUCAAACCAGAAAAUCAACUUAUGUUGGAAAAGACGAACAACAAUCAAACCUCAAUAAAGUGAUCAUAUAAUAUGUCUGAAUCUUUUAUAUCAAAAUACUGUGUUUGCUCCAUGUGGAAUCUGGAACCGUACUGUGGAAUGCUACAGUAUAACGGUGCAAUAUUUAUCUUAACCUACCUGGAAGAAACAGAGGGAGAGAAACAUUCAUGAUUCAACCAACUGACACUUACUAACUGGACAGUAAGGCCUCUUGAAAACGAGCCAUAGUCUGCUUCUCAAAUAGGGCACUACUUUAGACCAGUGGCCUUCAGUGGUCAAAAGUAGUGCACUAUAAAGGGAAUGGGUGCUAUUUCAGACAGUCAUAUUCAUGCUCUCUUUUAAAUGGAGACAUAACUUCUUAGCUCUUUCCUCUCAACGCCUCUGUGUAUAUUCUUAGAAAAAAUUGUUCCACAAGGGGUUCUUCGGCUGUCCCCAUAGGAGAACUCUUUUUGGUUCCAUUUAGAACCCUCCAUAGAAAGGGUUCUACAUGGAACCCAAAAGGGUUCUCCUAUGGAGACAGCCGAAGAACCCUUUAAGGUUCUAGAUAGCGCCUUUUAUUGUGUAAGAGCAGUCAUUGUCAAACUAGAUAGUGGUUUAUGUGCAACAUAGUGAUCUCCUCUAGAAAUGUUGUCUCCAACAUGUCUGCAUAAUAUUGAUGAUUACAAUAAUGAGUAUUAAUAUACUAACAGUCUUUUAAGAAGAGGACUUUAAAAGAAAGGUGCUCCUGAUUUUGCUACUCUGGGGAGGUGUUUGUUGACGUCAACCUUUUGUAGGGUUGUUCUGGGUCAGUUAAGUCAUGUCUAUCAAGGUUCAUAUGGAAGUUAUAACCUAUGCAGCUCAAAGUGGAUGCUGUCAGUCAAAGUGGAGGUCAAAACAGCAUACUUCCAUUCCACUACUAGAGCAUGCCCUUUGACCUGUCCCGGUCUUCUACCCAUGCCACAUGGAUGGAUGGAUGGAUGGAUGGAUGCACAAGCAGCACACAACAUGUUUGUAAUAAAGGCUUGGCUUGCUAGCAUGAUGUGGGAUUGGGGAAACCUUACAUCUUUAAAUCGUGGGGAAGCAUUUUGUUCAAACGUAAAUCCUCAACAAGACAGUUAGUUUCCUCUCUGAUAACCACAGCCCAUACAUUGUGAGUUGUCUCAGCAGUAUGAGGUGUUUCUAUACUGGAGCUUCCUGUAUCAUCUUAAAGGUUUCAAUUCAGCCUAACUCGUUACUCCAGUUAGCUUCCUAUAACAUAUGCUAUCCCCAAUAUAAUGAAUUACUCUAGAUAUAUGUUUCAUUCAGGAUAUAUAAAAUAGUGUUUUUAAUUCAGAAACAUUUUUGUGUUUUCUUCCCCCAUUACAUAAUGUAUAAUGGUUGUACAACAAAACUGAAAAAGGGAAGAGAGAGGUUGUUUAAUUAGUAAACACUAACUAGAGCUUGACUUUACCUAGAAAAGGAAAAUAAAGUCUAUAUUUAAAAUAGUUCUUAAAAUAUUUAUGUCUCGAUCAAAAUGAUCAACAACAAUUAAUUUACAAGAAAAUAUAAGAUCCAUCUGUAAUACUGUGGUACAGAGUCACAUCUUAAUAAAGGAAUCUGUAGUACUGUGGUACAGAGUCACAUCUUAAUAAAGGAAUCUGUAAUACUGUGGUACAGAGUCACAUCUUAAUAAAGGAAUCUGUAAUACUGUGGUACAGAGUCACAUCUUAAUAAAGGAAUCUGUAGUACUGUGGUACAGAGUCACAUCUUAAUAAAGGAAUCUGUAAUACUGUGGUACAGAGUCACAUCUUAAUAAAGGAAUCUGUAGUACUGUGGUACAGAGUCACAUCUUAAUAAAGGAAUCUGUGAAAACUGUGACAAAUACAGCUGGUUACUGUUAACAUCACAACAAGAGGAUCAGCCAUUUCAACCAAGCCUGUUUAGAUUAGGAGAUGAGCUCUCUAGUACGUCUCUAUGGUCAUCUCUCAGUCGAGGAUAUGUGACAAGCCUGUUUAGAUAGAUGAGCUCUCUAGUACAUCUCUAUGGUCAUCUCUCAGUCGAGGAUACGUGACAAGACUGUUUAGAUAGAUGAGCUCUCUAGUACAUCUCUAUGGUCAUCUCUCAGUCGAGGAUACGUGACAAGCCUGUUUAGAUAGAUGAGCUCUCUAGUACGUCUCUAUGGUCAUCCCUCAGUCGAGGAUAUGUGACAAACUGACCUGAACAGCAGUCCAUGGUGAACUAUCAAUGUCUUUGGCCAGUGUCACCCAGAUACUGUCCCCCCAGCUAGUAAUCAUGUAGUGGCCCACUGGCGGUCCACAUCCAGCAUAGUUAGCAGUCCACAGCUGGUAAACCACUUGUCAGUGUCCGAACAUGUUCUUCAGAAAGUCCUUAACACUUUUCCUUCAGACAAAGUGACUGACUGACUGAUCCUAAAGGUUCUCUAAAAGAGAACAAAAUGAGCUCCAUAUUUAUGAUCUUUCAACAUCACUGAGGGAAACGGAGAAUAUUUUUUGGCAAAUUAGAUUUUUUGGUGAAAUGUCUAUAAAUAUCAUUGUAUUGUAUGUAUAGCUAUUUGUUAAUAUAAGCCUAUAUAACUAGUCAACAAGAGGAGGUCUUUCCAGUGCUACAAAUUGCACCUCAUCCACCUUGAUAAUUAAUUGAUAAUUAAAAGCCUCAACUUUCAUAUAAUCACCUAUGUUUCUAUGAGUAGCAGUACCUUUUCUGUCAACAACUUCCCCAGCAUGCCACAGCCACAACGCUACAGAGACAACAGCGAAGACAUCUCAGCCGGCCUGACAAGACAUCCAUGGCUUUCAACAAUUGCACUAUCAUCCGAGACGCGUAGCGGUGCCACACAAACACUGCAGCACAAGAGUUUAGCACACAGCACCCUGAAUGAACAUGGGGAAAUUCACAGGACACAAUCUAAAAACAGGACGACGUAGCUAAAUGUUUAGAGGGGACUCUAAACCAAACACACUCGAUGACAGCACUGACUGAAGCAGGGGUGCAAAUACAGCAACACAAAGGCUUUGGAAGAGAUACUGUAGGUAGAUUAUGUACAUUGGCCUAACCUCAGACCUUUAUAUGGAAAUUAUUACAUAUACUUAUGUCCUAAAUGGCACCAUAUUCCCUAUAUACUAUAUAGUACACUACAUUUUACCAGAGCCCUAUUCCCUAUAUAGUGCACUACAUUUGACCAGAGCCCUAUUGCCUAUAUAGUACACUACAUUUGACCAGAGCCCUAUUCCCUAUAUAGUGCACUACAUUUGACCAGAGCCCUAUUCCCUAUAUAGUACACUACAUUUGACCAGGGCCUAUAGCCUAAGCCUCCUUCAGAAAGCCCUUUUAAUGCUAAAAUACAAUCCAUUGUCUCAUCAUUGUCCCUUUAUCAAUAAAAGUCCCCGAAAAUGAUAUGACAUUGUUGUAGGAGUAAACGUACCUUACCCUUUGUUCAAUCAAAAUACAAACAAGGGGUCAAAGUCGGCUAAGGAGGACGUGCAGUUCAACAACGACGUCAUAUAGUUCUGUUGCAACACCACCUGGACAUUUCACUCAAUACAUUCUCAAAUAUCAAUCUUUCCUUUAUACCCUGACAUUCAGAGGAGUAAUAUAUGGUAUUUAUAAACGAAGCUAUGAUAAUAUAUAGUUUAUAAAAAAAUAUACAAUCGUGGACCAGUGAAAUGAUGUGUCAUUCCAUCAUGACCAGUGCUAUGCCUUUUGGACAAGUCCAUGCACGUUAUACAAUAAUACUUUGAUGUUUCCUCCUGUUAAUAAACUCUCUUCCAAAACUAUGUAUACCUUCAAUAAAUAUCCUUAUUCGUCAGAUGGAUUGUCAAUGUGAUAAAAUCAAAUUUGUCUACUGGGUUUAUCUUGUGGGGAAUACGCUCUCAAAGAGACCACAUGUAAAACUAUUUCACAUCAUGCAUGUAAAAACAAUAACGCAAUGAUGAUGUCAGACAGGCAACCGGUCUUAUAUUCAACAGCUCUUUUCCCCUCUGUCUUAUAGCAACUAUUUACCCUCACCAUCAGAUAAAGGAUGAACACAGUCACCUUGUCCCCCCCUAAAAAAUGUCCUCUGAAAUGAGGUUGGGGUCAGAGUUAAGGGCUGGGGAUAAAGGAUAGUUCCUAUUUGGUAUAGUCGUCAAAACCUUCUUUUCAUCAUACAUACAGUAAUCUGUGACAUGAAAUGGUUGCUCAGUUAUCAACAGAAUAAGACAGUAAGAAAGAGUGUUAUGCCCUGCUUCAGAUAAAGUACAGCCACUUUUCACCACUUGGAUAAACACAAGAUAUGCAAAAUCAGUUUUUAACAAAGCAUGUCCUCUCCUGUCGGUCUGUCCAACACAGUAGCUGCAAUAUGUAUUGACCCUAAGUUGAUAUUUACAAAACAAAUAUAUUGAAAAUAGCAACCCUUUUCUUUGUAGUUAUAAUACGGAACUUUGCCUGUUAAAAAAUCAACACAUUUCAAAACUUGGCACACUGAAAUGCUGAACUGAAAUCUCAUGCAAUAAUGUACAUCUAGUAGUUUUUCAAUUCAUGAACGUUUAUGACAACUAAUAAAAAGAGAAAAUAGAUGGAAAUCAAGAAUUAAAUACAUCUUAUUAUAUACUGAAAUGAACCUGAUUUCAAGUAUAACAGGUUUCUUCCUCAAUUUAAAAUAACGCUGUAACCCAACAAAACAAAAAAACAUAAAUAUAUUAUAUCUAUAAUACAAUUUGUUCUCUUUAUCACUUCUUUUGUACAACUGUAUUUUUAAAAAUGUUUUAUAAUUAAUAAUAUGAAUCUUCUUGUUUAAGUUAGUGCAUUGUUUUUGCAUAUCUUGUGGAAUGCAAGCACGCACCCACUCACUCCUUACUAUACCAACAUACUGUGUUAGCGUCCAACAAACAACAUAGAUGUCAUGACUGAUGUACCAACUCCUCACAGGGAUUGUACCAGCCUCUGGCAUUCUCUCACAAACUCACAGCCACAAACAAUGGGUCUCAGGCCUCCCAAUUCAAAAAUACUAUGAAGUACCCUUGAAGUACUCUUGAAGUACUGUAUGUAUAUGAAUAUAUGUAUGGCACAGUUUGUUGGGGAUAUAUAGAAACCAAAAUAAUCUAUACUGUAGAAAUAGGAUGGUGGGGGAAGGGGUGGGUGAGUGGAAGUCUCUACUUAAACGUUCACAAGCUUUGCAUUAUUUUGGAGUGGAGUGUCAUCGUUUCAAGUAAACAUUCAUCAGGCUAUAUGGCUAUAAGUGUGAGCCUUCAGAGAGGAGCUUAGUUACCCUGCAGCUAGCUAUACAACAUGGAUGGUAAAGUGGUAGGAUGGUAACAUGGUAGGAUGAUAAAGUGGUAGAAUGGUAACGUGGUAGGAUGGUAACUUGGUAGGAUGGUAAAGUGGUAAGAUGGUAAAGUGGUAGGAUAGUAAAGUGGUAGGAUGGUAACGUGGUAGGAUGGUAAAGUGGUAGGAUGGUAAAGUGGUAGGAUGGUAAAGUGGUAGGAUGGUAACUUGGUAGGAUGGUAACUUGGUAGGAUGGUAACGUGGUAGGAUGGUAAAGUGGUAAGAUGGUAAAGUGGCAGGAUGGUCACGUGGUAGGAUGGUAACUUGGUAGGAUGGUAACGUGGUAGGAUGGUAAAGUGGUAAGAUGGUAAAGUGGUAGGAUGGUAACGUGGUACGAUGGUAAAGUGGUAAGAUGGUAAAUUGGUAGGAUGGUAACGUGGUACGAUGGUAAAGUGGUAAGAUGGUAAAGUGGUAGGAUGGUAACGUGGUAGGAUGGUAAAGUGGUAGGAUAGUAACGUGGUAGGAUGGUAAAGUGGUAGGAUGUAAAGUGGUAGGAUGGUAACGUGGUAGGAUGGUAACUUGGUAGGAUGGUAACGUGGUAGAAUGGUAAAGUGGUAAGAUGGUAAAGUGGUAGGAUGGUAACGUGGUACGAUGGUAAAGUGGUAGGAUGGUAACUUGGUAGGAUGGUAACGUGGUAGGAUGGUAAAGUGGUAGGAUGGUAAUGUGGUAGGAUGGUAACUUGGUAGGAUGGUAACGUGGUAGGAUGGUAAAGUGGUAGGAUGGUAAUGUGGUAGGAUGGGAACUUGGUAGGAUGGUAAAGUGGUAGGAUGGUAAAAUGGUAAGAUGGUAAAGUGGUAGGAUGGUAACUUGGUAGGAUAGUAACGUGGUAGGAUGGUAAAGUGGUAGGAUGUAAAGUGGUAGAAUGGUAGAUUUGGAUUACUGUAACUAACAACAACUCUGGGAUAUAUAGGGAAUGGGAAAGACCGUCAUCAACAUUACAAUCUGUCCUGCAAGACUGAAAGCCCAAAGACCUCCUCAACCUUGAUGUUCAGACCCAUGAUAAAAAAAGGAUUUUGGACGGCGGAAAAAGCAUUGAAAAUCUAUAUUUUAUAAAUGUUUUAAGCUUGACACGUGUGCACUGUACAGACAACGUAGUGACAUCCUAGCCAGUCCUUACUGUACCACAGAGAUUCAUACUGUAUCAUCAGGACAGAUUUAUCACACUACAAUAUCAUUGAUACGGUGAACACUUUGAACAUCAUAUUUGCAUAAUUAGGUUGAUAAUAAUACACGAGUCAGUCUGAGUCAUGCUUACGGUCAGUCGCUCCACAAGGCAGAGACAUCCAACAGGAGAGGUACAAUCACAAUCCCACUAAUCAUGUAUGUCUCCCUGUAAAGUGUUUACUGGAAAAAGGAUCCUAACGCCAAUGUCCUGCUAUUACGUGGCAUUCCUUCUUUACGCACCGAAUAUUAUCUUUGUCUCUUUGUCUACGAGUACCGUCUGGCUGCAGUCUGUGAGUUAGGGUCAUUUAUUCCGUCUGUCGGCGAUGAUGUAAUGGACAGGAGCACAGAGCUUGUUCAGAUGCAUCUCAUUAGGCCUGGCAGGCCCAUAGAGUUGGAUAGAGGGCACAUUUGGCCAGUUUUAACAUAGAGAUGAGCUCUCUACUACAUAUCUAUGGGAGUGCCUAACAGGGUGAAAUAUAGUAAUCAUCAUGUCACAGCUCAGGUGUCGAAGGUCACAGAUCCCCUGUCUGAUUGGCUUAUCCUGUUCUGUUCUCUGAUUGGUCUAUCCCGUCCUGCCCUCUGAUAGGCUCCUUGAUGAGAUCUGAUGAAAACCUCUGUAGUUCAAUAUUCAGAACAACAAACAACCAUGAAAUAAUUAAAGCAGCGAUAGGAGUAAAAACACAGCUUUGGAAGCAUGCCUGUCAAAUGGUUUUCUGUUCAGGUGGUAGGGUGAUAGAUACAAGUGAAACAUGACACCAUACUUAGUUAAUGCUACCUUAAUUUAACCGUUUAGGUAUAGUGUUGCUUUUAAGAAACAGCGAUACAUAUUUCACCCCCUCACCUCCAAAUACAGCUUUCACCUCAGGGACAAAAUAAAUAAAUAAAUAAAUACAAUGUGUUUAAAAGAUGCAUACUAAUAGGUACACAUUUUACUACGUCCUGCCGCUGCACCCCACACACACAGGUUUCAAUACUUCUUAACUUCCUAAAAUCUCCUAAAAAAUAAAUCAAGCAAAAUCCACAGUUAGGGCCAGCACCCCGAUUUGGGCAAAAAUAAGGAUAAAUAACAUCAUGAAAAAUAACAAAUGAAGAAAUCAAGUCUGGCCAGUUUUGCACAAUACUGUUUGUGUGUGUGUGUAAAAUACAUGAAGUGGAUUGGAUUCUGAUCUGUGUGUUGUGGUGAUUAUAGCAACUUGGCACCAACACCUAGCCACUGUAUUGUCACAGACAAGAAAGGCCAUAUCUUACCUCAGCCCUGCCCAGUUUCUCCUCCUUUCCUACACUCAUCCCCCAAAACAUCCUACAGCGAGGAUAGCAGGAUGAACGGACCACUGAGGAGUUUAAAACUAUAACUGAUAAACGACUACAACCAAAACAAUGCAGAUUUAAUAACUGAACUGAGAGAGAGAGAGAGAGAGAGAGAGAGAGAGAGAGAGAGAGAGAGAGAGAGAGAGAACGGACGGAGGAUGGGAGGUUGAGGUAACCAUGGCAGCUAGGUGGCGCUGUCCCUGUUUAGGACGGCUGCAUGUGAUGAGGAAGUGGCGGCAUUAUGACAGAGAGGGAGGUGUGCGAGUGGUGGAGGGAGGAAAGAGGGAUGGAGGAGAGGAGAAGGGCGUAGGCUGUUGGUGGACAGUACGACAGCUGAGCAUGAUAAAGAUAAACACAUCCUGGAUGUUGGUGUCUCUCUGUGUCGCUCCCUGUCGUUGGCUCCUCCUUCAGAUCCUGGAUGUUGGUGUCUCUCUGUGUCGCUCCCUGUCGUUGGCUCCUCCUUCAGAUCCUGGAUGUUGGUGUCUCUCUGUGUCGCUCCCUGUCGUUGGCUCCUCCUUCAGAUCCUGGAUGUUGGUGUCUCUCUGUGUCGCUCCCCUGUCGUUGGCUCCUCCUUCAGAUCCUGGAUGUUGGUGUCUCUCUGUGUCGCUCCCUGUCGUUGGCUCCUCC